GGCAAUGGGUCAAGGUAUACAGUAUGCGCACGUCAUGGGUUCGAACGCUGCCGCAAAGAAAAGCCUGGUAUCUAAGUGGGGAAGGGUAGGGACGCGAUCCACCAAGCUUUGAGUUGUGCAACACUGGCCCUUGGAGUUUUCUCAGUCAUCAAAAAAAGAAAAUGAAUCAAGGUAUAACUGCAUAUAUAUAAUGCUCAUUCUUGAAUAGAGUGAGAUUUGGCAUGCUACUAUUUGCAUGAAUAGUAACUUAAUUUACAAGCCUCUGAAAUUCUACAUGAUUAGUAACUUAGGCAGCAAAAAUUCUGAACCCAAAAUCUCCAGAUUUUGAUAAAUUCGUUUAGCUCUCACUUUACCUGUUGCUAUUCUCACAAUAUUUACCAACUGAAACAAAAAAAGGCAGCUCGGUGCACAAGAUAUCUGCAUUCACGUAGGGUUCGAGAAAGAGCCGCAUCUCAAAAGGUGUAUGUAGACAGCCUAUCCUAAUACAAGUAUUAAUGGCUUGCUUCCACGGAUUGAAUCCAUGACCUAUAGAUCUAACGAAAACAACUUUACGUUGCUCCAAAGCUCCCCUUCACUUACCAACUGAAACAAUUUCAGGAAAAUAUGAACAUGAACAAUAGUUAAUUCCCUGAAGAUCCGCUUAUUGGCUCAAGGAAAAGAAGAGAUGAAAAUAGAUAUGAGCGUUACACUAUGUUGAAUGCUGAUAUUAGUAAAUUUGAUUAUUAUACUAUUGAAUUUAUAUAUGUUAGAUGAGCGUUACACUAUUGUAUUUUCAAAAACAUUGAGAAGUGCAGAUGAGAAAAUUUGAAUGGUAGAUGGUACAUUUUUUUUCUUUACAUUUUGCUUUUAUUAAUUUAGAUCCUUAGGACUUGCCAACUCUACCUACCUGUUCAAUUGGUUGUUGAGCUUUAAAAAUCUAAACUAAUAAAGAACUAUAUCCCAGAGAUUUUGCUCUGAUGUCUAGAUUACAUCAACUAUUUCUUGAUUUUUCCUUUGUCUAUCUUCUUUUUAAUUGCUUGACUUAGGAAUCUUGCAGAUAUUUCUAAUUAAUUUAUUCUAUUUCCUCAGUCUUGAAUUUAAUUUGCUUUCUUUUUUGGAAUCUCUUGAAACUCACUGUUGAUUCUUUUUUUAACAUAGAAGUACCUGGUAGGUAUGUUUAAGCAAUUUUUAGCCACUUUUACUACUACUAUAGAAAAAGCUUCUUUUAUGCAGCAACGAAGUUAGAAUUUUCAUUAAAGAGUGUCAAAAUUUUAAGAAGUAAAUAUACAAACAAGUCAUGGAAAUUCAAUACAUAAUAUAUAUAUUUAAAAAGAUAACUUUUACCUAUCUAAACAGUAAAAGCCAUUGUUGCGCCAAAAAUUAUAGCUCCGCCCUAUUUGGUGGUGAGAAUAUCCCAUGGUAGAAGAACCCUUUUACAAGAGGUGUCAUCCAACAUUGUUGCGCAAAAAAUUGUGGCUCCGCCCCUCUGUGGGCAUGUCCCGUGACAGAAGCACCCUUCUACAAGAGAUUGUAGGUGUCAUCCAACAUCGUUGCGCCGCAAAUUGUGGCUCCGCCCCCAUUGGGUGGUGGGAAUGUCCUGUGGCGGAAGCAGAAUCACCCUUCUACAAGAGGUUGUAGGUGUCAUCCAACAUCGUUGCGCCAAAUAUUGUAGCUCUGCCUCUAUCGGGUGGUGGGAAUGUCCCGUGGCGAAAGCACCCUUCUACAAGAGGUGUCAUCCAACAUCGCCGCGCCAAAAAUUUACAAAUAUAUAACUAAAUAAGAUCUUCCUCUAUAAAACAAUAUGUUUAUAUAUUCAUCUCAUGA
rnacentral:lncRNA from 1 species